CAGGGGGAUAAGCGGAAGAAAUUCCGUCUAAUACCGCAUAAUACAAUUUGGAGACAUCUCCGGGUUGUCAAAGGAGUGAUCCGGCAGAGGAUGGACAUGCGGCGCAUUAGCUAGUCGGCGGGGCAACGGCCCACCGAGGCUACGAUGCGUAGGGGUUCUGAGAGGAAGGUCCCCCACACUGGUACUGAGACACGGACCAGACUCCUACGGGAGGCAGCAGUGAGGAAUAUUGGUCAAUGGGCGGAAGCCUGAACCAGCCAAGUCGCGUGAGGGAAGACGGUCCUAUGGAUUGUAAACCUCUUUUGCAGGGGAACAAGGCGCGGUACGUGUACCGCGAAGGAGAGUACCCUGAGAAAAAGCAUCGGCUAACUCCGUGCCAGCAGCCGCGGUAAUACGGAAGAUGCGAGCGUUAUCCGGAUUUAUUGGGUUUAAAGGGUGCGCAGGCGGACUGUUAAGUCAGCGGUAAAAUGUCGGUGCUCAACACCGGCCGGCCGUUGAAACUGGCAGCCUUGAGUGAGCGAGAAGUAUGCGGAAUGCGUGGUGUAGCGGUGAAAUGCAUAGAUAUCACGCAGAACUCCGAUUGCGAAGGCAGCAUACCGGCGCUCAACUGACGCUCAGGCACGAAAGCGUGGGUAUCGAACAGGCUUAGAUACCCUGGUAGUCCACGCAGUAAACGAUGAAUACUCACUGUCCGGGCCGUUUAAGGCCUGGGUGGUCAAG
rnacentral:rRNA from 1 species